UUGGAGGGCAAGUCUGGUGCCAGCAGCCGCGGUAAUUCCAGCUCCAAUAGCGUAUAUUAAAGUUGUUGCAGUUAAAAAGCUCGUAGUUGAAUUUCGGGAUCAAUAUUUCGAUCAUGCCGUUGGUAUGCACUGUUAUCAUUGAUUUCUCACCUUCUAAAGAACCGUAAUGCCAUUAAUUUGGUGUUACGGGGAAUUAGGACUGUUACCUUGAAAAAAUUAGAGUGUUUAAAGCAGGCUCACGCUUGAAUACAUUAGCAUGGAAUAAUGAAAUAGGACAUCCGAUUCUAUUUUGUUGGUUUCUAGGAUCGAUGUAAUGAUUAAUAGGGAUAGUUGGGGGCAUUAGUAUUCAAUUGUCAGAGGUGAAAUUCUUGGAUUUAUUGAAGACUAACUACUGCGAAAGCAUUUGCCAAGGAUGUUUUCAUUAAUCAAGAACGAAAGUUAGGGGAUCGAAGACGAUCAGAUACCGUCGUAGUCUUAACCAUAAACUAUGCCGACUAGGGAUCGGAUGAUGUUAAUUUUUUAAUGACUCAUUCGGCGCCUUACGGGAAACCAAAGUGUUUGGGUUC
rnacentral:rRNA from 1 species